UACGUAGGGUGCGAGCGUUAAUCGGAAUUACUGGGCGUAAAGCGUGCGCAGGCGGUGAUGUAAGACAGGUGUGAAAUUCCGGGGCUCAACCUCGGAACUGCAUUUGUGACUGCAUCGCUGGAGUGCGGCAGAGGGGGGAUGGAAUUCCGCGUGUAGCAGUGAAAUGCGUAGAUAUGCGGAGGAACACCGAUGGCGAAGGCAAUCCCUGGGCCUGCCACUGACGCUCAUGCACGAAAGCGUGGGGAGCAAACAGG
rnacentral:rRNA from 1 species